GAUGAACGCUGGCGGCGUGCCUAAUACAUGCAAGUCGAGCGAACAGACGAGGAGCUUGCUCCUCUGACGUUAGCGGCGGACGGGUGAGUAACACGUGGAUAACCUACCUCUAAGACUUGGAUAACUUCGGGAAACCGGAGCUAAUACCGGAUAAUAUAUUGAACCUCAUGGUUCAAUAGUUAAAUACGGUUUUGCUGUCACUUCUAGAUGGAUCCGCGCCGCAUUAGCUAGUUGGUAAGGUAACGGCUUACCAAGGCGACGAUGCGUAGCCGACCUGAGAGGGUGAUCGGCCACACUGGAACUGAGCCGCGGUCCAGACUCCUACGGGAGGCAGAAGUAGGGAAGCGUCGGCAAUGGGCGAAAGACUGAAGGAGCAACGCAGCGUGAGUGAUGAAGGGCUUCGGAUCGUAAAACUCUGUUAUUAGGGAAGAACAAAUGUGUAAGUAACGAUGCACGUCUUGACGGUACCUAAUCAGAAAGCCACGGCUAACUACGUG
rnacentral:rRNA from 1 species